GAGUUUGAUCUUGGCUCAGAUUGAACGCUGGCGGCAGGCCUAACACAUGCAAGUCGAACGGUAACGGGAAGCAGCUUGCUGCUUCGCUGACGAGUGGCGGACGGGUGAGUAAUGUCUGGGAAGCUGCCUGAUGGAGGGGGAUAACUACUGGAAACGGUAGCUAAUACCGCAUAAUGUCGCAAGACCAAAGAGGGGGACCUUCGGGCCGUCUUGCCAUCGGAUGUGCCCACGAUGGGA
rnacentral:rRNA from 1 species